AUAGUAGACAGUCCUUCAGGUGUCCGAAUGGACUUGAUAGGGAAUCCCGUGUGAAUCGGGAGCGGACCCGCCGCCGUGACGCUCUGCCGAACUGUUUUCUUGACAUGCCACUGGUCCAAGUACUGGGAAGGCGAAAACAGGAGGAGCCAGCCGGAAGACCUGCCUGAAAACGAUAUUGGUU
rnacentral:ncRNA from 2 species